UGUCAUCUUCCCCUGCGUGGGAAUUGCUUAAGCUCCCUGGCUGGGAAGCUGCUGCCUUCCACUCAGCGUGCCCGCUGCAGGUGGAUGGUCAAGGCGUGGACUGCCGGGCAUGGGCCCACGGGCACCGGGCACUGGCCCCUUUUCCCUCCUAUCCAGCAAGGGCACAAGAGUGAAUCUACGUGCAGGUGUAAGAGCCACGUCCUCUGUCCCCAGGAUGAGAUAGAGAGAGCCUAGAGAGCCGGUAGAAGCCUAACCUGAGGUUUCCAUGACAACCAUGGAAGCCUCCAGAAACUUCAGCACCCCUACCAACUCCCUCUCAGAACCGCCAGGUUGCCAAAAAAUAUGCAGUACUGAAACGGCAGCCGAAGGAAAGGCAGGAACCAUGUGCUCUCAGACAGGGACCCUUGAGCUUCUCCCCCAGAACCCUCUCUGUACAACACCUGCCUCAGGAACAUGGCCCCUAGUCACCCUCAGUGCACUCACCGGCCACAGAGGAAAAGGCAAAACAGGAUGUAAAUAUGCUCUCUCUGUAAUGUGCUUUCUGUCCUAAGGAUGCUCAUGAAAGCCAGAGACUAACACAGCUCCGGAGAGAGUCAGGAAGAGUGGAACUGUAGGCCUUGCCUGCCUUUCCCAAAUGCACUGCCAGGAUUCCCAGUUGUGUGCACUACACCUGAAUACUGAUCCAAAAGGCCUUUCCAGAAUGUGUCCUGAUGACCGGGGCGACUUGCCAAAUGCCGCUUGGGUUUGAGAAGGCUGACCAGGAUGCACAGUGCAUGGGAUGAGGUUGCACAGUCAAUGUCCCUUGACGCUGAGACUUCACUUGGCUCUAACUCCAUGAGACAAAGUCAUAGGAAAGCCUGAAACUGGAAUGCUCACCUGAGAACAAACAGUGGUGCUAGUGAAUUCUUAUCCUUGACACUGGCGGAGUGGCUCAGCUCUCCAAACGCUGUCCUGCCUUCUCUCCAUUCCCAGCCAGGAAAAGCAAAGCCAGCCCGGGUCGCCUUGUCCUGGUGCAAAAUCCAUCGGGCUUCGCAGCCUCCGGUGCCUGCACAAGUCUCCUUUAAGCCGGAACUUGCCUCUCACCAUUUCCAUGGCGGAAUCAUUGCAUCUGUAAUAAUUUUCCAUCCGAGGCUGGAGAGGAGGCGGCUGCAGCUUUACCUGCUGUUCAAACCAGGCAUGGUCGAGAGAGACCAUUUUUCUUUGUGUUUGAAACCAACAGGAGGACGAAAAGGCCCCAUAAAUACAGCCAAUCAGGAGUAUUUUAUAUCUAUUGCUGCGAUGAGAAAGCCCCCUGUAACGAAAUAGAAGAGGGAUGCAUGGAAAUAAGAAAAAAAAAAAAAAGAAGUAAAGGAAGAAAGAUUUAGGGAAAAAAGGAAGCAAGGUUAAUCCUUCAUGUUGAAAGCUCCUGUGGUUUAUAGCAAAAUAGGGCUUUGGACUGUCAGGGCUAUUAGUCAAGGGUUAAAUGUCACUCAAAUCACGCCCGUUAUGAAUUGGAAAGUGGGUGUGUGUGUGUGUUUGUGAUGUGCGUGUGCGUGUGAUGUGGCUGUGGGAGAAGGAUAGAGAUUCUACUUUUUUAUGCAUUUCAAAUUGAGCCACGCUGGCCUGGAGAUGACCCGCCACACGAUUUUUAAAUUAUCUCUGUGUGCGCUCUGCUUGUUUUGGAAAUGCUCUAAAUAAAAAUAAUGGACUGUCUUUUAAUAAGUCUCAUUGUGAGGAUUCCACAUAUCAAACAACGCAGUGCAGCUUGGAGGCAAACGGCGGGCGUGUGUGAUCUCCUGGAAGAGAGACAAAUGGCAGUGUGGGGAGCUCCAUCCAGGGAACGCUGACAAGGAAAUGGCAUUCUGAAACUGACACAUCUGUCAGGGCGGAGGAUAUUGGCACCUGUCAUGCAAUUUCAGUCAUGACUUUUAAUAAAGCUGCUUUCCCUUAGGUAAAAUUGGAACUUGAC
ensembl:lncRNA